rnacentral:tRNA from 1 species
GCGUUCAUAGCUCAGUUGGUUAGAGCACCACCUUGACAUGGUGGGGGUCGUUGGUUCGAGGCCAAUUGAACGCACCA